rnacentral:snoRNA from 9 species
UCGGCCAGUGAUGAGGACUUCUCCCACUCGUGUUCGAGUUUCCCAACCAUGAGAUGACUCCACAUGCACUACCAUCUGAGGCCGC